rnacentral:rRNA from 1 species
AUGGAGAUCUCUUUCGAGGCGUGGGAGGGGGUGCAGCGCCACGGCCAGGACAUCGCCGACCGCCUCGCGCAGGGCUUCACGGGCCUGCUGCAGGCGCCGCCGCAGUUCCCGUGGCCGCCCGUAUCGCACAAGCUCAUGCCCUUCGAGAUCGACCUCCCCGUCGUGCCCUUCGGCGCCGCGCGGGGCGCCGCCGGCGCCGGCAAGGACUUCUUCCCCACCGCCGCCGUCGCCUCCGUCAUCGACAUCGGCGGCAGGCUCGGCCAGGCCGGCGUCGAGAUUGGCACAUCCGUCGGCGGGGCCGUGCAGCACGCCGUGCGCCAGCUGCCCGUGCCCUUCCGGGGCGCCCAGAUCCGCCGCCGAAAGCUGCAGCCGACGCCUUCUGCGGACGGGGCCGUCGGCCUCUCCUCGGAGAGGGCCGUCGAUAGAUGCCCUCUCGAGGCGGCCGCCGCCGCUGCGGCCGCGGCCACUGGAAGCGCUGCCGCGUCGACUGUCAGUGGUGUUAGAAACGGGGACGACCUUGAUGAAGACGAUGACGGAUAUGGCUGCGAAAUCGGAACCCUCGGAAACUUUAAGAAGUCCAAGGGUACCGUAAAUAUGUCAGCGACAUACAACACCAGGAACAAUGAUAUUGAGAGUUCUGUUGUUGCACGUGGAGACCUGUGGAGGCUAGAGGCAUCACGCAGCGGUUCAACUUCUGGAAACGAUACUUCGCCCCUUUACCUUGUUCAGCUGGGGCCUUUACUAUUUGUUCGUGACUCUACACUCCUAUUGCCUGUUCAUCUGUCAAAGCAACAUCUGCUGUGGUAUGGCUAUGAUCGCAAGAAUGGAGUGCAUUCCCUCUGUCCAGCUAUUUGGUCGAAACAGAGAAGAUGGCUGAUGAUGUCGAUGAUGUGUCUUAACCCAGUAGCUUGCUCCUUUAUGGAUCUACAGUUCCCUAAUGGGCAAGUAACGUACGUUGCUGGAGAAGGGAUAACAGCGAGUGGUUUUGUUCCGUUGUUCGGUGGGUUGCUUCAAGCUCAUGGGAAAUUCCCAGGAGAAACAAGAAUGAGCUUCUCUUGCAAGAACAAGCGAGGCACAAGGUUCACUCCUAUGUUUCAAUGGCCUGACAAAUCUCUUUCACUUGGAGUUACUCAAGCCUUAGCAUAUAAAAGAUCUGGUCUUAUGGUGAGGCCCAGCAUACAAGUCAGUGUAUGCCCUACAUUUGGAGGAAGUGAUCCCGGGGUACGAGCAGAGGUCAUCCAUUCAUUAAAAGAGGAACUAAAUGUGAUGUGUGGUUUAUCCUGCUCAAGAAAUCCGUCAGCUUUUACUGCUCUUUCUAUUGGGCGGUCGAAGUGGAAUGGUCAAGUGGGCAGUUCUGGAGUAGUAGUCACGUUGGAAACACCUCUAAAUAACAUUGGAAGGCCGUCUUUAUCUGUGCAGUUAAAUGGCGGUUUCGAGAUUUGA